rnacentral:sRNA from 1 species
GAUGGCGACCGCCAUGUACUUGGAGCACUAUCUGGACAGUAUCGAGAACCUUCCCUGCGAACUUCAGAGGAACUUCCAGCUGAUGCGAGAGCUGGACCAGAGGACGGAAGAUAAGAAAGCAGAGAUUGACAUCCUGGCUGCAGAGUACAUCUCCACGGUGAAGACGCUGUCUCCAGACCAGCGCGUGGAGCGCCUGCAGAAGAUCCAGAACGCCUACAGCAAGUGCAAGGAAUACAGUGACGACAAAGUGCAGCUGGCCAUGCAGACCUACGAGAUGGUGGAUAAACACAUUCGAAGGCUUGAUGCAGACCUGGCGCGCUUUGAGGCAGAUCUGAAGGACAAGAUGGAGGGCAGUGAUUUUGAAAGCUCCGGAGGGCGAGGGUUAAAAAAAGGCCGGGGUCAGAAAGAAAAAAGAGGGUCCCGGGGCCGAGGCAGGAGGACAUCAGAGGAAGACACACCAAAGAAAAAGAAGCACAAAGGAGGUGGCAACAGCGUUCUGAGUCUUCCUGCUCCUUCCUGCUCGGAACCUGAAGGCCCUGUCCCGACCGUGCCUUUUCUGCGUGAAAGUGGGACUCCUCCUGGUCUCUUCCUCACCCAGUGCUGUUUCUCAAGGGUAUGCUAGGCAUAAGGAAUGCAGGCACUGGGGGUCCUUGUGGGGGUGAAGGAGACUCCAGCUCCCUGUUGGGGUCGGGGCUUCCUCCCUGAGGACUUUGCCCAGCUUCAGAGACCUCAGGAACAGCCAGCACCUCUGCAAACACAGGAGGAUCCACUGUGGCCUCAUGGCUUUUCCUGUCCUGACAGUGCACUGACCAGCACUGUUUAGUAGCAAUGCGGAGCCUGGGAGCUCAGCGCUGCCUGCCGUGCAGGUCCCAGUAGUGACAGAUGAGAAGGGUGAUCACCGAUGGCGACAGUUGCGGGGC